GGCGAACGGGUGAGUAACACGUGGGCAAUCUGCCCUGCACUCUGGGACAAGCCCUGGAAACGGGGUCUAAUACCGGAUAACACCCUCUGCAGGCAUCUGCGAGGGUUAAAAGCUCCGGCGGUGCAGGAUGAGCCCGCGGCCUAUCAGCUUGUUGGUGAGGUAAUGGCUCACCAAGGCGACGACGGGUAGCCGGCCUGAGAGGGCGACCGGCCACACUGGGACUGAGACACGGCCCAGACUCCUACGGGAGGCAGCAGUGGGGAAUAUUGCACAAUGGGCGAAAGCCUGAUGCAGCGACGCCGCGUGAGGGAUGACGGCCUUCGGGUUGUAAACCUCUUUCAGCAGGGAAGAAGCGAAAGUGACGGUACCUGCAGAAGAAGCGCCGGCUAACUACGUGCCAGCAGCCGCGGUAAUACGUAGGGCGCAAGCGUUGUCCGGAAUUAUUGGGCGUAAAGAGCUCGUAGGCGGCUUGUCACGUCGAUUGUGAAAGCCCGAGGCUUAACCUCGGGUCUGCAGUCGAUACGGGCUAGCUAGAGUGUGGUAGGGGAGAUCGGAAUUCCUGGUGUAGCGGUGAAAUGCGCAGAUAUCAGGAGGAACACCGGUGGCGAAGGCGGAUCUCUGGGCCAUUACUGACGCUGAGGAGCGAAA
rnacentral:rRNA from 2 species